GUCUACAGCCAUGCUACCCUGAACAAGCCCGAUCUCAUCUGAUCUCGGAAGCUAAGCAGAGUUGGGCAUGGUUAGUACUUGGAUGGGAGACCACUUAGGAAGACCAGGUGAUGUAGGCG
rnacentral:rRNA from 1 species